AGGAGCUGAUAUCAGGCACAACCUACUGCCCAUGACAUCUAGCCAUGCCACACCCACAAGGGCCUUCAGCAGUGAUUAAUAUUAAAAAUAAACGUCAGUUUGACUUAGUCAAUGAGAACAGAGCCGGCUAAUCUGGUGCCAGCCGCCGCGGCUACACCAUGUGGCUCAAAUUGAUUUUACACGGCGUAAAGCGUGAUUAAAGAAAACAUAACCACUGGGGUUAAACUAUAACUAACUUGUGAAAUGCUUAUGCUUAGGAAAGCCUUAAUCGAAAGAUACCCCAGACUACCAACUUGAACUCACGAUAAUUAGAACACAAACUGGGAUUAGAUACCCCACUAUGCUAAUUAUAAACUUUUACUUACACCACCUAUCGCCAGGGAACUACGAGCAAAGCUUAAAACCCAAAGGACUUGACGGUGCUCCAUAUCCCCCUAGAGGAGCCUGUCCUAUAAUCGAUACUCCCCGUUCAACCUCCCCAUUUUUAGUCCUUCAGCCUGUAUACUUCCGUCACCAGCUUACCGCGUGAGCGCAUAAGUAAGCUUAAUGUUUCAAAUCAAUACGCCAGGUCAAAGUGCAGCAAAUAAAAUGGCAAGAGAUGGGCUACACUUUCUAUUUUAGAAGAUACGAAAGACUAUGUGAAACCAUAACCAGAAGGUGGAUUUAGCAGUAAGAAGAAGAGUAGAGUACCCUUCUUAACUAGGCACUGGAGUGUGUACACACCGCCCGUCACCCUCUUCAACAAGAUCUAAUUAGUAUAUAACAUUU
rnacentral:rRNA from 1 species